rnacentral:rRNA from 1 species
ACGAACGCUGGCGGCAUGCCUAACACAUGCAAGUCGAACGAGACCUUCGGGUCUAGUGGCGCACGGGUGCGUCACGCGUGGGAACCUGCCCUUAGGUUCGGAAUAACUCCCCGAAAGGGGUGCUAAUACCGGAUAAUGUCUUCGGACCAAAGAUUUAUCGCCUUUGGAUGGGCCCGCGUUGGAUUAGCUAGUUGGUAGGGUAAAAGCCUACCAAGGCGACGAUCCAUAGCUGGUCUGAGAGGAUGAUCAGCCACACUGGGACUGAGACACGGCCCAGACUCCUACGGGAAGCAGCAGUGGGGAAUAUUGGACGAUGGGCGAAAGCCUGAUCCAGCAAUGCCGCGUGAGUGAUGAAGGCCUUAGGGUUGUAAAGCUCUUUUACCCGGGAUGAUAAUGACAGUACCGGGAGAAUAAGCUCCGGCUAACUCCGUG